UCCCUGAUGGCCUAGUGAUUAGGACUCGGCACUUCCAUUGCCAGGGCCCAGGUUCAAUCCCUGGUCAGGGAA
rfam:Ovis aries breed Texel chromosome 13, whole genome shotgun sequence.